rnacentral:misc_RNA from 1 species
GCUCUCAACAUCAAUAUCUGCCACAACCCCAGAUUCCAACAUUUCAUUAUGCAAUUUCCAAACAAGAUCAGUCCUCCCGAAACUAGACAACCCAACAAAGCUGAAUUCCAAGCUUCAAGAACACAUCAAGUGAAUCCUGAUUCCUGAACCAUUCAACCAUCACAAAGACAACAUAUAUGGCGUUCUAAAAACCCUGCUCG